GACGAACGCUGGCGGCGUGCCUAAUACAUGCAAGUCGAACGCUUCUUUCCUCCCGAGUGCUUGCACUCAAUUGGAAAGAGGAGUGGCGGACGGGUGAGUAACACGUGGGUAACCUACCCAUCAGAGGGGGAUAACACUUGGAAACAGGUGCUAAUACCUCAUAACAGUUUAUGCCGCAUGGCAUAAGAGUGAAAGGCGCUUUCGGGUGUCGCUGAUGGAUGGACCCGCGGUGCAUUAGCUAGUUGGUGAGGUAACGGCUCACCAAGGCCACGAUGCAUAGCCGACCUGAGAGGGUGAUCGGCCACACUGGGACUGAGACACGGCCCAGACUCCUACGGGAGGCAGCAGUAGGGAAUCUUCGGCAAUGGACGAAAGUCUGACCGAGCAACGCCGCGUGAGUGAAGAAGGUUUUCGGAUCGUAAAACUCUGUUGUUAGAGAAGAACAAGGACGUUAGUAACUGAACGUCCCCUGACGGUAUCUAACCAGAAAGCCACGGCUAACUACGUG
rnacentral:rRNA from 1 species